GAUGAACGCUGGCGGCGCGCCUAACACAUGCAAGUCGAACGAUUAAAGCACCUUCGGGUGUGUAUAAAGUGCAGAACGGAUGAGUAACACGUGGGCAACCUGCCCCUUUCAUUGGGAUAGCCACGGGAAACCGUGGAUAAUACCGAAUACUUCGAGACUUACGCAGCGAAGACUCGAUAAAGCUCCGGCGGAGAGGGAUGGGCCCGCGGCCUGUUAGCUUGUUGGUGGGGUAACGGCCUACCAAGGCAUUGAUGGGUAGGUGGGUUGAGAGACCGACCAGCCAGAUUGGGACUGAGACACGGCCCAGACUCCUACGGGAGGCAGCAGUGGGGAAUCUUGCACAAUGGGCGAAAGCCUGAUGCAGCGACGCCGCGUGCGGGAGAAGGCAUCGGGUUUAAACCGCUUCAGCAGGGACGAGGCGAAA
rnacentral:rRNA from 1 species